GCGCGGGCGGUGCGGGCCUGUCCAGGCUGUGCGGGACGGCGGGCGCGGAGCGACGGGACUGUGCGGGCCAGGGAAACAAAAGGCUCGUUCCGCGGCCGAGGGGCUGGGAACGCGCGGGACUAGGGUGGGAUCCGUUAGUUCAAUCCGACAUGAGCACUGUGACUCUGAACCCGUGUGAUCCAGCGCCAGAUCCAGAUGCUUAUUGAGCACGUCCAGGGAUGAUGACUCCAUUACCUCCCUAGGCUGUUUCCCCUGGUCUUGGCACUGCAGGCACAGCAGAAGAGACCAGUCGGCGCCUUACUACGCUCUCCCUUCAGGUAUUGAUAGAACAAGUGGAAACGGUUUUGUCAAGGGAGGAUUAGACUGGAUAUUAGGGAAAAAUACUUCACUUAGAGGUUGGUCAAGCACUGGAACAGGCUUCUGGGGCAACGGUGGACUCGCCAUCCGUGAAAGUGUUCAAAAACCGUGGAUGUGGUGCAUGAGGACAUGGUUUCAUGGUGGACUUGUCAGUGUUAAAUUGAUAGUUGAACUCGAUGAUCUUGGUGAUAUUUUUCAACUUUAAUGAUUCUGAUUCUAUUCUAAAAAUAAAUUUUAAAAAUACAUCCUGGUAGGUGGUACUGUUUAGCUUUUAACUGUGACUGCAUUGCUACUUACUCUGUACUUCCCUGAAAGUAUGUCUUUCAUGUUAUUCAAGUUUGUAAGCUCUCAACCCCUUCUGCAAACCUAUACCUACCUUCAUCAUCAACCAUUUUUCUCCUUUAAGCGGGUUUGUUUGGUACAUCAGCUUCACUUUACACCGAAGUACCUCUGGGAUCAUAUAUUUGUCAUUACCAGGCAAUGCAAUAGGUAGAUAUCGUUCGAUUUUUUUUUUCCCUCCCCAGUGUUAACAGAGCUGACAAAUAGCAGCACGUUUACACUUGCAUGUUUCUCUACAGUUCUCAGAAAGCAUCUAAACAUUCAGGUUUUCAAAGCUUUGCAUUACCCAAAAGUAUUUAGUGAAUUUUUCCUGAGGCCAGUAAAACAAACUACUGCUACUACUUUCACAGCUCUCAAGCUCUUUUUAUCUACUGGAAUUGUUUCAUGUCUUUCCUUCUGAGGGCUAACUCUGCUUCCAACUUACAGUAUUAAGAUAUAUGGAAUUAUGCUGGUUUUGUGCCCAGGGUCACAGUGAAAAGAGAAGUUGGCUCUAGCCCUCAGUUUAUACCAUUGGAAUACAUCCAUUUACUGCUGUUUUUCUGCUUUAAGAAAUUGUAAUUUCAAAGAAUGUUGUAGGCUGCUCUUUCUGUGAGUUUCCCUUUACUGCUUCUUGCUUUCCCUCACAGAUUUCUAAGCAAAAUAAUUUUAAAACAGCCUUGUCACUGCAGUAGUAGCAAUAAGCCUAAAUAUAGAAGUGCAGUGUAAAUAUUUAUAAGAUUCCCUUUAUGAGGCAAGCUUUUCUAAGUGCCUUCCAGGGCAGCAGCAUGUGUGGGGGGGUGCGGGGACUAGAAGGACAGCUGUGCUAAGAAUUUCACUCAGGAGGGGAUAAUGUGUCUACAACACUCUUUCAGGAGGUUUAUUUUGGUGAGAACAGUUUUAAAUUUGAAAAAGAUUCUGCAGAGAAAGAGCUCUUAGUAAUAUCAGCUUAGUAAUAUCAGAGCUGUUAUCUCUGCACCCAACACACCUUUUCUGCUUACUUUGCAGACAAGGUUGCCAUCCCAAGUCAGUUGGUGCUGGAGGUUUUACACAUCACCUUGUGUCAGUUCUUAAGCAUUGGAAGUCAACUCCCUGUCAUGCUACAUAUAUUGCUUUUCUGCUUUUCAUACACUUGCCACGCUGGCAAGGAAGUUGUGGGUGCAUGGCAGCUGGGAGGAGACCCAACCAGGACAGGCAACACCAACUGACUAAAGGGGUAUUCCAGAGCACGUGACAUCGGGCUCAGUACAUAAAAUAGAGAUAAGAAAGAAGAGGAGGAAGGAGAACAUUCAGAGUGAUGGCAUGAUUUUUCCCAAGUCACCAUUACAAAUGAUGGGACCCACUCUCCUGAAGAUGGCUGAACAACUACAUUCCCUUGGGAAGCGGUGAAUUGAUUCCUUGUUUUGCUUGUGUACAUGGUUUUUGCUUUUCCUAUUGAAUUGUCUAUAUCUGAGCCCAGGAGUUUUCUGGCUUUUACCGUUCCAAUCCUCUCCCUAGUCCUGCCAGUGGGGCAUUAAGCAGGCAGGUGCCUGGGGCUUGUCUCCUAGCUCAACUUGUAAGCCAUGACAUCCUGUCAGCCCAACGCUCCUUUACCUUUAGUAGCAUACCAAAAAGUGCUACAUGAUUGCUUUACUAGUCUUUCAUAAUGUCUGUGAUCCUUUUAUUAAAAUUUCAUGUUAUUGUCUGUGUAUAAAUGCAAGAGAAACUUUUUUUUUUUUAUGUUUACCUGUAUUUAUUUAUGCCUUCAUAGAAAGCAUGUUUGGAUUCUCCCAUAAGCCUGUAUAUACUGACUCCAUGUAUAGAUACACUGAACAAUUGUGUUACAUUUUAAGCAGCACUAAAAUUAUCCUCAUCUUUGGAAGCUGAUGUGUUAUUUAUUGAGGUUUUUCAGUAAGAAUAAAUGAAAAACUGAGUUGCAAAGGACAGCUUUUUUUUUUUUUUUCAAUUUUAAACAUGAAAAUAUUUCUAUGCAAUAAUUUUCAUGCUUAGUUAAUUGCAUCUAAGUUCCAUAAGGGUUCUAAGUAAUGAUGGAGCUUAGGUUUCUGCUGUGUACCGCUGGCUUGUUGAUGGACAAAAGUUACAUGUUGACAAACGUCUUUGUAUUUUUGUAGCUGCUUAGAUAUCUUGGAUGAUUGUAUAGAUGCUUCUACAGCAGCUAGGAAAGGAAAAAAAGCAUGAUUAGAAUGAACAAACAGGAAAAUAUAGCUACACUCUUAAUAACUACAGAACUUCCUCUGAGACCGGUGAUGUAACCUGUGCAGGAUAAACCCAGAUGUUGCAUGGAAGACUGUAUUUCAUUUUAAAUUUGGGUAAUUUUUUGUGCUGUUUACUCUGAAAUUUUUAAAUAAACAGUCAGUAACACCA